UACGUAGGGGGCGAGCGUUGUCCGGAUUUACUGGGCGUAAAACGCUUGUAGGUGGCCACGCCAAGUCGGAUGUGAAAUCUCCCGGCUUAACUGGGAGCGGUCAUUCGAUACUGGCGGGCUCGAGGCAGGUAGGGGGAAGCGGAAUUCCCGGUGUAGUGGUGGAAUGCGUAGAUAUCUGGAGGAACACCGGUGGCGAAGGCGGCAUCCUGGACCAACACUGACACUGAGGAGCGAAAGCCAGGGGAGCAAACAGG
rnacentral:rRNA from 1 species